AUUAGAUGACCGAAAGUAAGUAUAGGUCUUUUAAACCUACUAUAGUAGUUGCGCCUACUUCUAAUAU
rnacentral:tRNA from 1 species